AUACUUUUACAAUCGAUCUACUAAAAAUUAAAAAAUUAUACAUGUUAUACUCAAUGUAAUAGUUAAGAAACGUUAAAAACAUUCGCUGUAUUUGUCGCAUAGUACAUUUAAAGACAAAUG
rnacentral:ribozyme from 1 species